UACGAAGGGGGCUAGCGUUGUUCGGAAUUACUGGGCGUAAAGCGCACGUAGGCGGACUACUAAGUCAGGGGUGAAAUCCCGGGGCUCAACCCCGGAACUGCCUUUGAUACUGAUAGUCUCGAGUCCGGAAGAGGUGAGUGGAAUUCCGAGUGUAGAGGUGAAAUUCGUAGAUAUUCGGAGGAACACCAGUGGCGAAGGCGGCUCACUGGUCCGGUACUGACGCUGAGGUGGCGAAAGCGUGGGGAGCAAACAGG
rnacentral:rRNA from 1 species